AUUGAACGCUGGCGGCAUGCCUAACACAUGCAAGUCGAACGGUAACGCGGGGGCAACCCUGGCGACGAGUGGCGGACGGGUGAGUAAUACGUAGGAAUCUGCCCAUUUGUGGGGGAUAACCCGGCGAAAGCCGGGCUAAUACCGCAUACGCUCUACGGAGGAAAGCGGGGGAUCGUAAGACCUCGCGCUAAUGGAUGAGCCUACGUCGGAUUAGCUAGUUGGUAGGGUAACGGCCUACCAAGGCGACGAUCCGUAGCUGGUCUGAGAGGACGAUCAGCCACACUGGGACUGAGACACGGCCCAGACUCCUACGGGAGGCAGCAGUGGGGAAUAUUGGACAAUGGGGGCAACCCUGAUCCAGCAAUGCCGCGUGUGUGAAGAAGGCCUGCGGGUUGUAAAGCACUUUCAGAGGGAAGAAAAAUCGGAGCUAACACCUCCGGUCUUGACGUUACCCUUAGAAGAAGCACCGGCUAACUCCGUGCCAGCAGCCGCGGUAAUACGGAGGGUGCAAGCGUU
rnacentral:rRNA from 1 species